AAACCAGCACCUCAAGUGGUCAGGAUGAUUAUUGGGCCUAAAGCAUCCGUAGCCUGCUCUGUAAGUUUUCGGUUAAAUCUGUACGCUCAACGUACAGGCUGUCGGGAAUACUGCAGAGCUAGGGAGUGGGAGAGGUAGACGGUACUCGGGAGGAAGUGGUAAAAUGCUUUGAUCUCUCGAUGACCACCUGUGGCGAAGGCGGUCUACCAGAACACGUCCGACGGUGAGGGAUGAAAGCUGGGGGAGCAAACAGGAUUAGAAACCCCAGAGUCC
rnacentral:rRNA from 1 species